UUUGUUUUUCAUCAUUUGGCAUGCAAAAAGCAAGAAACAAAAUGAACCUAAUUAAAAGGAGACAUUCCACUCGAUUAUGGCAUAAGGCAUUCCAAGACUCACGCGAUCAAAUAAGGAGUCCAAAGACUGCUAGACCAAAAAGGCCAGAGAUAUUGUAUAGAGAACCAAGGAAAGUCCAUGGAUCCUUCCAAAAGGAGAUACAUCGAGUCAUCGACCAUGACAGAGCCUCAAGAUUUGGUUCAAGGGGUCUCCGAAAAUGGCAAAUGUAAUUCAGCUGAGGGUUUAGUUCCAUAAAGCUCGCUACAAUUAAAAUUAAACCUGUAAGGAUUUCUUGACCUCAAGCUGUCGACUUAACUUGAGAGUAAGCCCCACAAAACCAAGAACAGAAAGGACGGAUAAGAGCUUGAAUGAGAGACAGAGAAAACAGAUCAAUAGGUGAGUGUUUUUGUGUGUGAGAUAAUAAGAAGAACACAGAGAGUUUGUUAACCCAGUUCACCACCGAAGUAGCUACGUCUGGGUCGAGUAUGAUACUCGGAAUCCACUAGGUUCAAUAUAGAACUUACACCUAGAAACAAUAAGUGACGCACACCAAUGCCCUUCACUAGCACUUGAUGUUCACUCUAUGUGUUUCUAGCCUUAGAGAAUACAAGAAAAGUUUAAGCUUAUUACAAGUAUUCUCUCCUUAGUCUAUAUCACUCAAUCUCACUCUACACUCUCUCAAACCUAACAAGCCUCUUAUAUAGCAACAAGAGGUAACCUAUGCAAUGACCUAAAGCAGCCGCUCCUCUCACUUUGUCGCUGAGCACAGCUCAUAGGAGUCGCCAUCACCAAAUCAAGACAAAGACUGCUUUAACCAAUUGGGAGCACCAGAGGACGAACGAGUACGGACUCCUUGCUGUAAAUGUAGCCGUUUCCCCUAUCUGUGGUCCCAAAAGCAGUUUCACCAUGGUCUCAUUUACAUUCACCUCAGUAAAACAUUUAAAUCCAAUGAGUCAUCAUCUUGAUGGGACUAGUAGCUUGAUCAUCAAGGUUUCAUCUUCACAAAUCUCCACCUGAAACUUGAUGAUAAAACCAAAAACUUGCACAAACUGUCAAUGAGAGAGAUAAGAGAGUACCCCGAGAACCUAGUUGUAGGAUUCCAUACUCGGAUUCCUCCUGAGUUUUACUACUCAGGCUUGACCUGUAACAAGGUCAAAGCCGCCUGAAACUUGUUUACAGGCACGAUCUUGGUGAAGAUAUCAGCUGGAUUCUUUUCAGUGUCAAUCUUCACCACAUCACCAUCACCAUUAGCAAUUAUGUCCCGAAUAUAUUGAUAUCGAACAUCUAUAUGCUUCGUUCUUUCAUGAUGAACAUUAUUCUUGGAGAGUGC
rnacentral:sRNA from 1 species